GAUGAACGCUGGCGGCGUGCCUAAUACAUGCAAGUCGAGCGAACAGACGAGGAGCUUGCUCCUCUGACGUUAGCGGCGGACGGGUGAGUAACACGUGGAUAACCUACCUAUAAGACUGGGAUAACUUCGGGAAACCGGAGCUAAUACCGGAUAACAUGUUGAACCGCAUGGUUCAACAGUGAAAGACGGUUUUGCUGUCACUUAUAGAUGGAUCCGCGUCGCAUUAGCUAGUUGGUAAGGUAACGGCUUACCAAGGCAACGAUGCGUAGCCGACCUGAGAGGGUGAUCGGCCACACUGGAACUGAGGCACGGUCCAGACUCCUACGGGAGGCAGCAGUAGGGAAUCUUCCGCAAUGGGCGAAAGCCUGACGGAGCAACGCCGCGUGAGUGAAGAAGGUCUUCGGAUCGUAAAACUCUGUUAUUAGGGAAGAACAAAUGUGUAAGUAACUAUGCACGUCUUGACGGUACCUAAUCAGAAAGCCACGGCUAACUACGUG
rnacentral:rRNA from 1 species